UAUGUCUGGACCCUGUUGUUGGACCUGCCCAGCUGUUGGUGAAGUCUUGUUCCAGGCAGCAAUGUUGACCUAAAGUAAAUUCCCAGAAGUCCUUCCUGGGAUUUGAAUUUGUAGUAACAGGUGCGAGCAUUCUAGCAGUAGUUUGAUGAUCACGUGUGAUACUAAAAACAGGA
rnacentral:snoRNA from 1 species